AUCAGGUGCUGGAGAUAUAGUCAGGAACCAUGAAUUGCACCCUUUCCGUAUACCUUAUAAGCAAACUUCUCAAGUAAAAAGGUAAGCCCUUUCUAUGCUAAAUUGCUGGAUAGAUCAUAUUCUGAAAAGCAAAAGCAUACCACCAACAACUGCUUUUCAGCAGUGGCUUGUUUAAGGUUGCCUUUUAUUUUGCAGUGUCCUCUUGCCCAAAUAAGCUGUUUCUGAGGAGAAGCCAGUUCACUAGGCCGAUGCUAUUCUUUGUCCCACUGUUGUGUAACAGAGGUCAACAAUUCUGGCAUAUUGUAACGUGAAUUUGUAACUGCAAUUGAUGUUGAAUAUUGCCUUGCAACAAGAGAUGAGUGUUCAACUACUCAUUCCCAUACAGUAAACCAAACAACUUGAUUUCUCCCAGAAAUUUAAGAUGUUUCAUUUUCCUAGACGCACCAUCUAGUGGCCAAAGCUCAAGACAAUAACACGUGUAAGAGACACUGUAUUAACAGUUUAAAGGCUAAUUUCAAGAAUUCUGGAGGCUUCAGAAGUAACAAUUAUAUUAGAAAAAAUUUAAUGGUAUCAAAUAUAAAGGCUAAAAAUUUGAGAUGAGUUGGACUUUGAAACUUGUUAAAAAGUCUUAGCUAUAUGGCAUUGGACAAUCAUCCAACCCUCAACUUGAUAAUGUGCACAAGGCAUACUAUCUCCCAGGAUGGUUGUGGGAAUAUUUGGCACAGUAUCUACCCUUUCCAGUUGAAAAUGUACAGACUGCUUUAAGGAUGAAGAUAACGAGCUCCCACCAUGUUGGCCAAGCAUUGGUGACUGAAUCACAUUUUUAGUGAAAGGCCACUGUGCUGCUUUCUGGUUUCAGGAACUCUAGAUAGUAAAUUAGGCAGCUUGAAAAUCCAGGUAUGCAGCGUGCAGAGGACAUGCUCACAUGUUGGUUUAAUAGCACAGGAGAAAAGAAAAAAUACUUCUUGGGGUGGGGGGCAGAAAGCACUGUCUAAGUUCCCUCAGUGGUGGGAAUGCAGGCUUAGAUGCUCAUACCAGCUUGACUGAAGAGCUGUGCUCUAGUUCCUUCAGAGCCAGAGGCAUAGUUUCAAGAACAUUUCUGACAAAUCAGUUGUAUCUGACAUUUGGGGCACCGCCCCUUCCCAAACCUCCCCUCCCCUUCCACACUAAUAUUAGACAUCACAGGUAGAUACAACAUUUAGUUCUCCACGGAUAACCAACUUCAUACCAAUCUUGCAAGAAGAAUGAAGUACAUAUUUAGCUUCUCCUAGUUUGAUCUUCCGAGGUACAGCAUGCACUUUUCACUUUUUCUAUUGAUGAUUUAUGCCCAUCCAGUUUAUUCCCUUACCUUUGCGCAGGAUUCAAGGAAAUGACAGGUUUUCUAACCACCAGGAGGCACCUGAUAAUUAUGAACCAUAAAGGUACAGUUUUCAAAUCUUGGAAGAGAAUAGUUUAUGAUGUGAUGCCAAGAUUUAAGUCAAGUAACCUGGGAUAGGCUAAUGAGAAUAGUUUCAGGAUCUAAUUUAAUAGAAAUGUUAACGGAAGUUCCACAUUGUUCAAGAAUACUGUGCUUUUUUGUCCCAAUCCAUGAGUUCAAACCCAAAGUUCUCCAAGAGCCCAGGUUUAUGGGAAAGUGCUCAGAAAGGUCUGGUCUCCAAAGUACUACCAUUUAAUUGACUAUGGAUUAAAUAAGCUUUGAGGCGUAACAGCUAACCAUCCCUAUUUAGUUACCCAUGAAAGCAAUACUAUAUUCCAAGUGAAUUUAUCAGCAAUUUUUUAGUAAGAUUAGAAAACUUCAAAAUCAAGUAAUUAAAAUCUUCCUGUCACUAACUUCUGUUCAAAGUAGCUAUUGAACUACAAAUGAAAUAUUCUGACCCUAGACACUAUGUUAUCACUUGCUUUUUACAUAAUAAAAAUGUUACUCAUCUGUUAAGUAGAGGUGGGGGGAAUUUAAGUGCCACUUACUUUACAGAAAUGGUGAACAUGUACUUGUAUACUUCUUCAUGCUCCCACAAUUAAGAAUUAAGAAACACAACAAGAGAUUAGGAAAAAUGGGAUAUUUUAAUGUGUAUCUGCCAGUCUCUUGCUAUUUUCACGCAAACAGUUCAUUCUUUUAUCUUCCUUCCUCCCUUUACUUAGACGUAAAUAAGUUUUCACUUUGACUGAAUUGUAAAGUCAUAAGCAGGUAGGGAGCCAACCCUAUCCUAAGAAUUUGAAGAAAGUCAAAUGCUGACCCGAGAAUAAUCAUCCUCCGCUAAACUGGACCAAAAUCAAUAGGUUAAAAUGCCGUAUUAUCUAGAUGUGGAUCUGUGCCUGCUCUCGAAAACAGUUCCAUUAAGAUGAGAAUUUAAUGUUUGGAAGGUCCACAGUCCACCAGUG